GACGAACGCUGGCGGCGUGCCUAAUACAUGCAAGUAGAACGCAGUUGCGAACGGGUGAGUAACGCGUAGGUAACUGCCUCAUAGCGGGGGAUAACUAUUGGAAACGAUAGCUAAUACCACAUACUGUGCGAUGGACCUGCGUUGUAUUAGCGAGUUGGUGAGGUAAAGGCUCACCAAGGCGACGAUACAUAGCCGACCUGAGAGGGUGAGCGGCCAAACCGGGACUGGGACACGGCCCAGACGCCCUAGGGGGGCAGCAGUAGGGAAUCUUCGGAAAGGGACGGAAGUCUGACCGAGCAACGCCGCGGGAGUGAAGAAGGUUUUCGGAUCGUAAAGCUCCGUUGUUAGAGGAGCGUUAACUAACCAGAAAGGGACGGCUAACUACGUGCCAGCAGCCGCGGUAAUUC
rnacentral:rRNA from 1 species